AUGACGGGGUCGCGAGGUAAGACGGGGUACCGCACACAAACAAGAAACUACACGUUGGUGAAUAGCAUGCAAUAACUCAAUAGGAAGAUUCAUUCGACUAACGAUCACUGCAAGAGAAACCGUGAAUGAGAGUGCACGCGUUUUUUGUUUACAAACGGAAAACUGUUUUAGCGCUCCGUUGAUCUAAUUUUGUGCAAGGACAACUAUCGUUAUUUUAAGGUAAUUAUGAUCACCUCAUUAAUGUCUUUUUUAUCGUUGUUUACUAGUAUUCUUAUUUUGAUAAUGGCAUAUUGUUUGUGUGAAUACGUUAAACAUUUAAUUAGUGAAUUUUUUUUGUUCAAAGUUACCUUUUGAGGCAAGAUGGGGUAUUGGGUGAGGGGUAUGAUGGGAAAUUGGUGAUAAUACCAUGGUACGUACUUACAAGAAAAAAACAAAAAGAGGAGAGUGGUCGAGAGAUGCUAUGAAAACAGCCAUAGAUAAAGUGACAUCGUCAGAACCCUGGGUAGACUACCAGAUCUAUGGAUGUUGAGCUCACAAUGCUUGUGCUGGGGUGGACAAUGAAGAUCUGGAGCAAAUACACAUUUUUGUUUGUUUUGUGAGAAUUAAUUAGCAUCACCAUCAUGCCCCAAUUCCAAUACCCCAUCAUACCCCACAGUAUGAGGCAAGAUGGUUUUUCAUAAGGUUCUUAUUAAUGGCUAAUUUUUCAAAAAUAUGAUAGGUUGAUUUUCCAAAGAUUGUACCAAAUCAUAGUUAGAAUAAUGACGUAACGCGCCAUCAAUUAGUAAUAGUAAUAAACGUAGUAAUUAUGUUGUA
rnacentral:lncRNA from 1 species